rnacentral:rRNA from 1 species
AUACGAAGGGUGCAAGCGUUACUCGGAAUUACUGGGCGUAAAGCGUGCGUAGGUGGUUGUUUAAGUCUGUCGUGAAAGCCCUGGGCUCAACCUGGGAAUGGCGAUGGAAACUGGGCGACUAGAGUGUGGCAGAGGGAAGUGGAAUUCCUGGUGUAGCAGUGAAAUGCGUAGAGAUCAGGAGGAACAUCCGUGGCGAAGGCGACUGCCUGGGCCAACACUGACACUGAGGCACGAAAGCGUGGGGAGCAAACAGGAUUAGAUACCCUGGUAGUCCACGCCCUAAACGAUGCGAACUGGAUGUUGGGUGCAAUUUGGCACGCAGUAUCGAAGCUAACGCGUUAAGUUCGCCGCCUGGGGAGUACGGUCGCAAGACUGAAACUCAAAUGAAUUGACGGGG